rnacentral:rRNA from 1 species
GGGUGAGUAAUGCCUAGGAAUCUGCCUGGUAGUGGGGGACAACGUUUCGAAAGGAACGCUAAUACCGCAUACGUCCUACGGGAGAAAGCAGGGGACCUUCGGGCCUUGCGCUAUCAGAUGAGCCUAGGUCGGAUUAGCUAGUUGGUGAGGUAAUGGCUCACCAAGGCGACGAUCCGUAACUUGUCUGAGAGGAUGAUCAGUCACACUGGAACUGAGACACGGUCCAG